rnacentral:rRNA from 1 species
GAUGAACGCUAGCGGCAGGCCUAAUACAUGCAAGUCGGACGGGAUAGGAGAGCUUGCUUUCCUUGAGAGUGGCGCACGGGUGCGUAACACGUAUGUAACCUACCUUUAUCAGGGGGAUAGCCUCUCGAAAGAGAGAUUAAGCCCGCAUAACAUGGAGAUAUAGCAUUAUAACUCCAUCAAAUAUUUAUAGGAUAAAGAUGGGCAUGCGGAACAUUAGCUAGUUGGUAAGGUAACGGCUUACCAAGGCUACGAUGCUUAGGGGAUCUGAGAGGAUGACCCCCACACU